AUCCGGCUGGAAUUCUGGCUGGAAUUCCGGCUAAAAUUCGGGCUGAAAAUCCGGCUGGAAUUCCGGCUGGGAUUCCGGCUAAAAUUGCUACUGAAACUCUGGCUAAAAUUGCUACUGAAACUCCAGCUAAAAUUCCAGCUAAAAUUGCUACUGAAACUCCAGCUAAAAUUGCUACUGAAACUCCAGCUAAAACUCCGGCUAAAAUUGCUACUGAAACUCUGGCUGGAAUUCCGGCUGAAUUCUGGCUGGAAUUCUGGCUAAAAUUCCGGCUGAAAAUCCGGCUGGAAUUCCGGCUGGAAUUCGGGCUAAAAUUGCUACUGAAACUCCAGCUAAAAUUGCUACUGAAACUCCAGCUAAAAUUGCUACUGAAACUCCAGCUAAAAUUGCUACUGAAACUCCAGCUAAAAUUCUGGCUAAAAUUGCUACCGAAACUCCAGCUAAAAUUCCGGCUAAAAUUGCUACUGAAACUCCAGCUAAAAUUCCGGCUAAAAUUGCUACUGAAACUCUGGCUGGAAUUCCGGCUGAAUUCUGGCUAAAAUUGCUACUAAAAUUCCAACUGAAAUUCCGGCUGGAACUCCGGCUGAAAUUCCGGCUAAAAUUCCAGCUGAAAUUUUGGCUGAAAUUCCAGCUAAAAUUGCUACUGAAACUCUGGCUGGAAUUCUGGCUAGAAUUCCAGCUAAAAUUCCAACUGAAAUUCCGGCUGGAAUUCCAGCUAAAAUUCCAGGUAAAAUUGGCACUAAAAUUUCAGCUAAAAUUCUGGCUGGAAUUCUGGCUAAAAUUCCGGCUGAAAAUCCGGCUGGAAUUCCGGCUAAAAUUGCUACUGAAACUCUGGCUGGAAUUCCGGCUGGAAUUCUGGCUGAAUUCUGGCUGGAAUUCUGGCUAAAAUUCCAGCUGAAAAUCCGGUUGAAAAUCCGGCUGAAAUUCCGGCUAAAAUUGCUACUGAAACUCCAGCUAAAAUUCCGGCUAAAAUUGCUACUGAAACUCUGACUGGAAUUCCGGCUGAAUUCUGGCUGGAAUUCUGGCUAAAAUUCCGGCUGAAAAUCCGGCUGGAAUUCCGGCUAAAAUUGCUACUGAAACUCCAGCUAAAAUUGCUACUGAAACUCUGGCUGGAAUUCCAGCUGGAAUUCCGGCUGAAUUCUGGCUGGAAUUCUGGCUAAAAUUCCGGCUGAAAA
rnacentral:lncRNA from 1 species